UCCCAGUUAGUACAACGGUGAGUAUACGGCACUUUCACUUCUUCUAACAAGAUGUCUGGGUGAGCUGCUGAGAUCGGGUUCGAUUCCCCGCUGGAAA